rnacentral:tmRNA from 1 species
GGGGGCGAUCUGGCUUCGACGGAAGUCUUGAAGCUCUGAGCGCAUGUCGAGGUUGCUAUCAGGCCUCGUUAAACCGGUAGCACAAUGAUAACUGGCGAAAGCCAAUAUCAACUUGCCGCUUAAUUAAAAGCGACACGUCCUCUUCGUCUUCGCCUAUGGGGCGAAAAAGGGCGUAAAACAGUAGGCUAGCUAGGGAGGCUGAUAUACCUUACCCGAUGCGAAACUCGCGUAUGUCAGGGUGCUUUGAAUCGUGUUGCUGCGAGUCUUUGCACCAACUAAAACAGCAACUAAACAUGUAGUGUUUGGAGUGGAUCGCUUUCGGACGUGGGUUCGAUUAACCUUAGUCGCCUCA